rnacentral:rRNA from 1 species
UACGUAGGACCCAAGCGUUAUCCGGAUUCACUGGGUUUAAGGGGUGCGUAGGUGGGCUAGUAAGUCCGUGGUGAAAUCUCUGAGCUUAACUCGGAAACUGCCGUGGAUACUAUUAGUCUUGAAUAUCGUGGAGGUAAGCGGAAUAUGUCAUGUAGCGGUGAAAUGCUUAGAUAUGACAUAGAACACCGAUAGCGAAGGCAGCUUGCUACACGAUCAUUGACACUGAGGCACGAAAGCGUGGGGAUCAAACAGG